CUGAAUUUUCACCUGAAGUCUCUGCUUUCAUCACCAAAUUCGACACCCUAUUUCAGACCCCCACUUUUCUUCCACCCUCGUGACCCACUAAUCACACUAUUCACCUCAUCCCCAGUGCUGAACCUAUCAAUGUUCGUCCUUACAGGUACCUAUAUUUCCAAAAACAGGAAAUCGAAAGUUAGGUUGAGGCAAUGUUGCAA
rnacentral:misc_RNA from 1 species